UCCUUCCGGGUCACUGGCCUACGCGUCCGCGCCGCGAGGCGAGCUCCUGGGUUUUCCGUGUAGCCUUUUCACUGCACCUGGUACAAGCUGGUGGCGAUUCCGGCGAUGAGCUCCCAGAAAGGCAACGUGGCUCGUUCCAGGCCGCAGAAGCACCAGAAUACGUUUAGCUUCAAAAAUGACAAGUUUGACAAGAGUGUUCGGACCAAGAAAAUUAAUGCAAAACUUCAUGAUGGAGUAUGUCAGCGUUGUAAAGAAGUUCUUGAAUGGCGGGUAAAAUACAGCAAAUAUAAACCAUUAUCAAAACCUAAAAAAUGGGACAACGGAGAUUACAAGUUGGAAGAAUUUAUUGAGAGAAAGAUAGCUUCUCAGAGAGACAGAAGGAGGACAAGAAAGUGGGUUGCCUGCCCACCCCGCUUCUCAAAGGUGUUUUAUGGGACAAAGCCAGGAGGUAAGGUGUGGAUGUCUAACAGUGCAGAUUAUUUUCAAAUUAAAUUUGUGAUGGCAGAGGAUAUUGGGAUGAAGAGAGUUGAACAGUAUAUGCUAUCUCCCAGAAUCCAAGCAGAAUUAAAAGAAAAUUUUCAGGAAGCUGAUGCAGUUUGGGGAAGCAAAGUAAAAGGGAAAGGCAAAGAUCUCAAAUACAUGUGGCCUGAAAAGGUAAUAUAGCUGGGUUUAACUUUAACCUAAGGACUGUAUCAGUUUUUCCAUUUUCAGAUUGUGUUUUAACAUGCAGAUAAUUAAGGUAUUUAUAUUUAGUUUAACAUGUAUUCUAGUAAUCACCCUGUAAUAGGAACAGUGAGGAAUUGGCUUUAGAAAAGUUAAGUGACUUGCCUUAUUCAUCUAUUAGGCAGCAGAUUCAAAAUUAGGAUCAAAGCACAAGGUCCAGAGUUCGAUCCCUGAUAUCCAAAAAAAAAAAAUUAGGAUCUAUUUAUUUUUCAUAAUCUCUCAUUCCUGGCUUGCAUUUUAAUGUCUGCUCCCUAAACUUUGGCACAAAAUCAUCCACCAUGGCUUGAACCAUUCCUGUAUCUUAAGUUAACCAAAAUAAGAGUGUUCACUUGUAGAAUGAAAAUUUACCUGCUAGAAAACUUGGUCUUACAAGACCAAGUUUUCCUUAACCAGAACCAAGGCACAGAGCUAAAUUGGAAAGAAAAUUUACUAUAAUCCACUUGUUUCACUAGGAACAAAACUGUCAAAGAUAGUCAAGGGUAAAAGUGAGGGAUAUUACCCAGACAUAGCUCUUAAUUUCUGAGCUAAGAAAAGAUUGCUAGGAAUAACAGUCAAGAAACUUGAUUUAAUUUGUAAUUAGUUUAAAUAGCACCUUCAGUGUACAAGACACUGUGCUAUAAUAUAGACGAUACCACGAUGAAUCUCUGCCAACAAAAGGUUUAUAAUCUAUUAGAGAAGGAUCUACAGGUAACUCUUGGGCAGAUUACAAGUAGCAUUAGCUGUAAGUAACGGGGAAGGAAACCCAGAGAACACGAAUUUAGUCUGCAGAGGAAUAAAUAAAAUGAGAACAAGUGAAAGAACAGUGGGUCAAACAAUAUUUUAAGGAAACUUUGUCAGGAGGACACAAGAGAAUGAAGAGAAAAUGAACAAAAAUCCCCUGUUCCCUUUCAUAGACAAUGCAAAUAAUCACAAAAUGUCUCUGUGUUCAGUCUUUUGGUUCCUCUUAAAUUCAUUUAGUUUUUCUUUCCUCUUGUUACAUAACCUUGGUAGUCUAUGAACAUUAAUCAAAGUUGCCUAUCAAAAGGUUUUGGACUAUCUUGAAUAUACAUUUAAUGAAAAAACUAGACUUGGAAUUUUGGUUUUGAGGCUCAAAAUUAAUAGUCGUAAAAAGCUAGAUUAUCUUUUUUUUUUCUUGUUCUUUUAUUAACGUGAGCAUAUAUUACACUUUCUGUCAUGUCUCUCCAUGUGUACCAGUAUGUGGUAAUAAUCUCUAUAGGUUAGCUGAUUUGGCUGUGCUUUUCAGUUCCAGCAUUUCUAACAGAGUGAGGCUUGGAAGGGUAAACAGGGAUAGGAGAGUUGUGUCACCAUAUUCCAGGAGUAUUAAAGUAUCUAGAGUGGAGUUUGAUUACUGCAGCAACCUUUGAUUUAAAGGUGAUUGCUUUAAAUGAUAUUAAUUUUCUUUUUUUUUCUUUUUUCUAAACUGUUCUUGGGCAUAGGUGAACAUUUUGUACUCAUUUAAGAACUAUUCUAGUCCAAUCUAAGACUGCAAUAAGAAGAGGUAGAUUAACCUCUUCACUUUCAAAUAAGCAAUCCAGGGACACAAGGGAGUGAUUUGUAACUACACUUGAGCUUAGCCAAAAGGCCUAGAAGCGAUGGGAGUGAUUUGUAACUACUUAUACUCCAGGAACUAGGAAUUUAGGAGAGUAUUGUUUUCUUAAAAAGCAUUUUAUAAGUAGCAUAUGAUGUAAUACCUUAAUGUGGUUUUAUAAUCUUCUGUGCUGAGCAUAGAUUACAGAGAGCCACUGCAGGAAAUAUGACAGAGAAAAGGGAAACACCAGCAGUGUUUUGUGCACCAGAGGCUGGAGUGCCACGGCUCACUGUUUACCACGUACCUAGUCAUCAGUAUGUGAAGAUACCAUGGGUGGAGCCAAAUUAUGGUAAAGGUUAAGGGUAAUAACCAGGAAACAAGGCAGUAUCAGAAAAGUUGUACCAGAGUAAAAUGUCUGUCAAAUCCUAAUGUAUUUUAUGUCUGUCCUAGUGCAAGACCUAAGAGCACAAAAUACAGAAAUUUUAUGUUCCCUGUGUAGAUCUUCCAACUGCUAAUAUGUGUAAUUAUGCGAUAUUAAAAAAUCGUGUUACUAUUAAAACAGUGUCAUCUAAAAGUCUUAAUAAUUGUUUUUUGUUUUGUUUUGAGACAGGGUCUCACUAUGUAAUUUAGGCUGGUCUUGAGCCCAUUAUGUAUUCCAGACUGGCCUCGAACUCCUGGGGAUUUUCCUGCCUGAGCCUCUGGUGUGUUGGGAUUAUAGGCAUGCUGGGCCACCCCACCCAGCCCUGGUUUUAGUGUUUUUAACUAUGAGUUCCUGGAGGUGGUGGCUACAGUGAUAAUUGACUGGUACAAUUGGGAGCCACUGUCUUCGUGCCAAGGUGUCAGCACUUUUAGUAUCCAUUAUAAGGAACAAGACUCAGGAGUUAAGAUCACUUCAAAGAUUAUAUGAAAGGGACAUGUCAAAGCUGGACUUGCAUAUUGGUAUCUUGUUUCCCAAGUGAUUCUCUCCUGUUUUAUUUUUUAAAUAAUAUAUUCCAGAUCUUUCAGUGGCCCCUUGGAAACUUCAGAUUUUUACUCCGAUUUUCAUCCUUAAAUAUAUAAACAUUUAUUAGCUUUGUUUAAUUUUUCUUUCGUCUUCUUUUUCAUUGUAAAAAAUAAUGAUACCAAAUUUUAAAAAUGUAUGACUGUCUCCUUUGUCAGUAAACAUAGUUUAUAGGAAUAACCUGUGUUUUUAUUUGACCAUAUUUUCCAUUAAAAACGAUCAGUUGUAUAUUCAUGGCCAAGAUUGAAAGAUUGUUUAUGGGAAUUGUCUUUCCACAGAGAAAUGAAAAGAAGUAAAAACUAUUAUUAUUUUAACAUCUCUGAAGUUUACUAAGCAAAAUCUUUAAAAGUUAGACAUUUUUAAGGAAAAAUUUAGGUGAACUUAGUUAUAUCUUACCAUGAAUUUUAUAAGAAACACCCAGGAGCGAUUAAAGAAUUUGUAGUGAUUUUAAAAUAUGUUCCAAGAUACUUUAUAGGUUUUAUGAUGACUUCAAAUGCAUAUCUCUUCCUAAAAUGAUAUCUAAACCAGUCUCAUACAUAAGAUCAAGAUUCUUUGGACCGGUAAAUGGAGUAUUGAGGUGAAAAAAUGUUGAAACUAUUAUUUUCAGGCCUCAUGCUGUACCCAGUGAGGGCAUAAAGCCUGGAUUAAGAGUUUUGAAAGAAAAGGCACACUAAGGUCUCACUUUUGUGACAGAGGAGGUUUUAAGUAGAAAGUUGUAAAGUUCUAACAAUACUACAAUUCAUAUUUUCACAAGCAUCAUAUUUGUAAAAACGAAAAAUGUCAUUUUAACUGUUUCUAUCUUUGCUGAAGAUAGGUAUAUUUAUAUUCAGAGUGAUUAUCCUAACAAAGCCUUAUUUUCAGAAACAUUUAAAUUUAAAAAGAACAUAAUUGCUUCAGCAGUGGAAUUCAUUCUUUUCCCAGAAUUGACCUUGAUAGUCUUAAUUGGCCCUGGAAAGACUGAAAAACACCCCUUUGGGUGUCCAGGCAGUGUUACAAAUGUUUGUAAGGGUAUGAACUUCAUGAAUUUGAAAGAGAUUCUGUGGUCUCAUUCCCAAGAUUUGUGUUAUGUAAAUAAUUCAUUGGGCCUAGAAAUCUGUAUUUUAAUAAGCCACAUAGGUACAUAUUUGAUUUUUUUUUUUUUUUUUUAAGAAGGGAAGGUUAUUUUUAGCUCACACUUUGCAGAAGUUUCAGUCCACGGUCAGCUGGCUACAAGGCAGGGUGGCAUGACACGGGCAUCAUGGAGCAGAAACCGCUCAGGCAGAAGGCCCAUAGUUGAUUCUUUUUUUUUUUUUGGUACCGGGGAUCCAACUCGUGUCCUUGAGCUUGCGCAGCAGGCGGCGAAACUGAAAGGUCGCCGAAGAAGGGGAGCACACACGGACGUUCAAACAAGCUUUAUUGGGGCGGCAGUCUGCAGCCUGCCAGGCUGACUCACAGAAUGGAGACCAGCAACUGCAUGGGCUGAGCUGGAAGCUUAUGUAGGGAUCUUGCAGGUUCAAACCCCAAGAACUUGCACUUGUUACAUAAAUACUUUACCACAGAGCUAUAUCACCAGCCAUAUCAAUACAAGUGGAAUAUAACUCCCAACCUACUACAUGUGCCAAGUUUGAGUUUCUGUCCCCCAAAAUCAGAGUGAAUUCCAAAGCAAUGCAGGUUAAGAGGAAAGAUUUAUUCAGAGAGAGCUACUGAAAGACAGCAGGGAUUGCGCCGAGCGUUAAAUGUUUGCAGAAGACCGUGAAGGAGUCUUACCACAUAAUGUGUAGACCAUGUGCCUAUGAACUUGAAGUCUGUGCAAAAUGUGGAAAGAAAGAAGAUAUUGUUAUUCC